rnacentral:rRNA from 1 species
CCUACGGGAGGCAGCAGUGGGGAAUAUUGCACAAUGGGGGAAACCCUGAUGCAGCGACGCCGCGUGAGUGAAGAAGUAUUUCUGUAUGUAAAGCUCUAUCAGCAGGGAAGAAAAUGACGGUACCUGAUUAAGAAGCCCCGGCUAACUACGUGCCAGCAGCCGCAGUAAUACGUAGGGGGCAAGCGUUAUCCGGAUUUACUGGGUGUACAGGGAGCGUAGACGGGAGCACAAGUCUGGAGUGAAAUGCCGGGGCUUAACCACGGAACUGCGUUGGAAACUGUGAAUCUAGAGUACGGGAGAGGUAAGUGGAAUUCUUAGUGUAGGGGUGAAAUGCGUAGAUAUUAGGAGGAAGACUAAUUGCGAAGGCGACUUACUAGAACGUAACUGACGUUGAUGCGCGAAAGCGUGGGGAGCAAACAGGAUUAGAUACCCCGGUAGUC